UACGUAGGGUGCGAGCGUUGUCCGGAAUUAUUGGGCGUAAAGCGCACGUAGGCGGUCCGUUAAGUCGGAUGUGAAAUCCCUCGGCUCAACCGAGGAAGUGCAUCCGAAACUGGCGGGCUUGAGUACGAAAGAGGGUCGCGGAAUUCCCGGUGUAGAGGUGAAAUUCGUAGAUAUCGGGAGGAACACCGGUGGCGAAGGCGGCGACCUGGGUCGAUACUGACGCUGAGGUGCGAAAGCGUGGGGAGCAAACAGG
rnacentral:rRNA from 1 species